AGAGUUUGAUCCUGGCUCAGGACGAACGCUGGCGGCGCGCCUAACACAUGCAAGUCGAGCGAAGAGGCCCCUUCGGGGGUACUUCAGCGGCGGACGGGUGAGUAACACGUGGGUCAUCUGCCCCUGAGUUCGGAAUAACGAUUGGAAACGAUCGCUAAUACCGGAUGUGGCCAUGGCUAAAGACUUCGGUCGCUCAGGGAUGAGCCCGCGGCGGAUUAGGUAGUUGGUGGGGUAAUGGCCUACCAAGCCGACGAUCCGUAGCUGGCCUGAGAGGGUGGUCAGCCACACUGGAACUGAGACACGGUCCAGACUCCUACGGGAGGCAGCAGUUGGGGAUCUUGCACAAUGGGCGAAAGCCUGAUGCAGCGACGCCGCGUGGGUGCUAAGGCCUUCGGGUCGUAAAGCCUUUUUCGGAGGGAAGAACGCCUGGGAUUUUCCCGGGUCUGACAUGAACUCCGGAAUAAGCCCCGGCUAACUACGUGCCAGCAGCCGCGGUAAUACGUAGGGGGCAAGCGUUGUCCGGAAUCACUGGGCGUAAAGAGUCUGUAGGCGGCAGGCUAAGUCGCGCGUGAAAGCCCCAGGCUCAACUUGGGGACUGCGCACGAAACUGGUCAGCUUGAGGACAGGAGAGGCAAGCGGAACGUUGCAAGUAGCGGUGAAAUGCAUUGAUAUGCAACGGAACACCGAUGGCGAAGGCAGCUUGCUGGACUGUUCCUGACGCUGAGAGACGAAAGCCAGGGGAGCGAACGGGAUUAGAUACCCUGGUAGUCC
rnacentral:rRNA from 1 species